UGCUCGUGAAAUUAAUGUGCAAGUGGCUGAGCACUCCACAGACACAACUACCCUUAUCGUAGUUCUAAGGGAGAUUCAGCAUGACACAGAAUAUGACAAGGUUGGUCCUUUGAAAUACAGACGCAAGUCAUUUUUGCCAGCUGAGUUGACUGGAAUAACGUGUAAUAGUCUUCUGCUUAAGGACACAACGCACUGCCCGGUAUCGAACACACGAUCGUGAGCCAAAUACCCUAACCACUUGGCCACACACCUUCACCACAGCCAGUAUACAACUUUAGGAUGUUUUCCUUCUUUAGUUUCAUAAGCGUUAAACAGACACUAGUGACAUUUCCCGUUUGAUCCGAUAUGUGUUUCUGACAGAUAAGAGGCAAGUACGGAUGUAUGUGUUCUGCAGAGAGAUUGAAUUUAGGGAAAACUUGUUUUCAUCAAAUACCAACUGAGAAACUAAUGUAUUAUCACUCAGUUUGUUCGUUUAAAAUGUAAGAAGUAAAA